AAGAUUUCUGCGACCGUUUUAUUAACGCUUUCGUACGUAAUUACUCUUCAAAAUGGGGAAGGAUCGGACGAAAAUGUAAACAAACCGUAGAUGCAAUCUUUUGAAAGAAAAGCUCAGUCAUCUGAGAUGCAGUGUUGCAGCACUGAAAAGCAUUGGGUGCCCAUCAUAGUGUUUCUCUUUGCCUGCAAUCAGGAUACAUCAAAUGACUUUUGAACUGU